rnacentral:misc_RNA from 1 species
GGAGUUACUUCCCGUUCUCUGAUGUUUACAUUUUAUGGAGAAAUGUUGUGAAGGAAAUUCACAAUGAAUAAGUGACAGUCAACAAUGGGUGUUUCAACUUCAACCCUUAAGGGCUAUAUAGCCCAUGGACAUUCCUGUCCGGAUGUAGUAAGAUGUUACCCAUCACAAACUCUUACUAAAUUCCCAGGACACAAAGGCAAGAAACAAGGAGAACUGAUUGAGAUCCUGCAGAUUCUACCAAAAUACUGCGUGGAAAAUCCAACCAUUGAUGUCUGGUGGACAUUUUGUCAGUUCUUUCCAAACAAUGACAACAUCAUUAUCUCUACAUCCACACCCUUCCAGAUUCUCCAUGGAAUUCAGUGGAAAAAAGUUUCUUCGUUACCUUGUGGAAAAGUUAUGCAAUACAAUUUAGACAAUGGAAAAUCAGGUGUCAUUCCUCAGGCAAGCUGUAAAGGAUUCCCAAAACUCCAGAUAAAUCCAGACGGUAGAAAACUAACAACUUUGGAUACAUCCUCUAUUCAUGAACAUUUAGUGGUGUACAAUCCAGGUCAUCCCAUAAUUCACAGGGCACGGGACUCACAUUUUACACAGUACAGAGACUACGCUACUUCUGCAAAUGGCCGAUAUCAUGCAAUUGUUGCUAAAGCCUCAAGUAACGUCUAUACGCUUUCCGUGUAUGGAUCAGAGACGGUACUAGUUCCUGAUGCUGUGAUGAAAAUACCCGACCUGUACCCUGACAUUAAACCACCACCCCUGCCUUUCACAGACCGAGCAGACGUUAAGUGGUCUCCGGAUAGCAGGCUUGUUGCUGUGGGAUUCAGUACAGGGGAAUUGAUUGUGGUCGACUGGAAAAAAGGUCAAGGAGUAUGUUCCGUGUUUGAAGAAAUCCUUUCAGAUUGUGACCUCCAGUCACCUUCGACCUAUGACUUUGACCCUCGGUCUCAACACUGUGUUAUGGCAGUUGCUGCUAAUGAUACAGUACUAUACAUAAUCAACACUGAGAAGAAAAAGAUGCUUUUCAGCUCAAGUGACCUCGGAAGCUGUGUGGAUUGUCUCAAGUACUCAUAUGAUUCCAACUGCAUUGUCUCAGCACUCUUUAAUCUGAAAAUUAAAGUGUUAGAUGCAGACGAUUUAAACCUCCAGCUUGAGAUUGAUUUGACUGUAGUGUGCCCAGACUUUGAGGACAUUUUGCUUAAGUUAGGAUCCAUUGCUCCCAAUACAACUUGCCUCUCUUUGUCCUCCACAGGAGAGCAGGCUGCAAUUGCCUGCUGGGACAGGAAAAUCAGAAUCCCUGUCUUUCUGGGGUAGGAGAACACACAGAACCUCUGCCAUCUUUUGGUCAAUGGGUUGGCUGACUCUAUUACCAUUACCACUGUCUAAUGGAACAAAAAUCUUUUUUACAAGUCAAAUUGAAUAGAUGCUUAUAGAGAACUGAAGACUGAAGAAAUCAGUGUGCCUGGGUAAUUAAAAAUCAAAUAAAACUA